rnacentral:rRNA from 1 species
CCUACGGGAGGCAGCAGUGGGGAAUAUUGCACAAUGGGGGAAACUCUGAUGCAGCGACGCCGCGUGAGUGAAGAAGUAUCUCGGUACGUAAAGCUCUAUCAGCAGGGAAGAAAAUGACGGUACCUGACUAAGAAGCCCCGGCUCACUACGUGCCAGCAGCCGCGGUAAUACGUAGGGGGCAAGCGUUAUCCGGAUUUACUGGGUGUAAAGGGAGCGUAGACGGCAGCACAAGUCUGGAGUGAAAGCCCGGGGCUUAACCCCGGAACUGCUUUGGAAACUGUGCGGCUGGAGUGCAGGAGGGGUAAGCGGAAGUCCUAGUGGAGCGGUGAAAUGCGUAGAGAUUAGGAGGAACACCGGUGGCGAAGGCGGCUUACUGGACUGUAACUGACGUUGAGGCUCGAAAGCGUGGGGAGCAAACAGGAUGAGAUACCCGAGUAGUC